AUGGUCUCAGAGACACGGGGCUGGGAGUCCCUGGGCAGGAGGGCAUGGUCUCAGGGACACGGGGCUGGGAGUCCCUGGGCGGAGGGCAGGGUCUCAGACACGGGGCUGGGAGUCCCUGGGCCCAGGGCACAGUCUCAGAGACACGGGGCUGGGAGUCCCUGGGCGGGAGGGCACGGUCUCAGAGACACGGGGCUGGGAGUCCCUGGGCGGGAGGGCAGGGUCUCAGAGACACAGGGCUGGGAGUCCCUGGGCCCAGGGCAUGGUCUCAGGGACACGGGGCUGGGAGUCCCUGGGCCCAGGGCAUGGUCUCAGGGACACGGGGCUGGGAGUCCCUGGGCAGGAGGGCAUGGUCUCAGGGACACGGGGCUGGGAGUCCCUGGGCAGGAGGGCACGGUCUCAGGGACACGGGGCUGGGAGUCCCUGGGCAGGAGGGCACAGUCUCAGAGACACGGGGCUGGGAGUCCCUGGGCGGGAGGGCACGGUCUCAGGGACACGGGGCUGGGAGUCCCUGGGCAGGAGGGCACGGUCUCAGAGACACGGGGCUGGGGGUCCCUGGGCAGGAGGGCACGGUCUCAGGGACACGGGGCUGGGAGUCCCUGGGCCCAGGGCACGGUCUCAGGGACACAGGGCUGGGAGUCCCUGGGCAGGAGGGCACGGUCUCAGGGACACGGGGCUGGGGGUCCCUGGGCUCAGGGCAGGGUCUCAGACACGGGGCUGGGAGUCCUUGGGGCCAGGGCACGGUCUCAGGGACACGGGGCUGGGAGUCCCUGGGCAGGAGGGCACAGUCUCAGAGACACGGGGCUGGGAGUCCCUGGGCGGGAGGGCAUGGUCUCAGGGACACGGGGCUGGGAGUCCCUGGGCAGGAGGGCACAGUCUCAGAGACACAGGGCUGGGAGUCCCUGGGCAGGAGGGCAUGGUCUCAGGGACACGGGGCUGGGAGUCCCUGGGCAGGAGGGCACGGUCUCAGGGACACGGGGCUGGGAGUCCCUGGGCGGAGGGCAUGGUCUCAGAGACACGGGGCUGGGAGUCCCUGGGCCCAGGGCACGGUCUCAGGGACACGGGGCUGGGGGUCCCUGGGCAGGAGGGCAGUGUGAGGCUGGGGCGGGAAUCCGGUUGCUACAGCUUUGUAACAAGAGGCUUCUCUGGCUCUGGAAUGGGUGGUUUUUGCUCACUCACACACUGACUUCUGUAUGGCCUGAGGGGAAGUGUUGA
rnacentral:lncRNA from 1 species